GAUUAAAAGCUUUAUUGCUCACACAAAGCCUGUUUGGUGGUCUCUUCACAUGGACGUGCAUGAAAUUUGGUGCCGUGACUCAGAUCGGCGGGGGGGGGGGGGGCCUCCCUUGGGAGAUCAAUCCCCUGUCCUCCUGUUCUUUGCUCCAUGAGAAAGAUCCACCUGCGACCUCAGGUCCUCAGACCGACCAGCCCAAGGAACAUCUCACCAAUUUUAAAUCAGGUCUUCUCGGCUUAGCGGCUGAAGACUGACACUGCCGGAUCACCUCGGAAGCCCCCUAGACCGUCACGGACGCCGAGCUUCAGGUAACUCUCACAGCGGAAGGGACAUGCAUGAAAAAAAUGUGCUGGGAACAGGAGAUACCAGGGAGAUCACACAUAAAGAAAUUCUCCUUUCCUUCCAACUGGUGGGGUUCCUCAUGUGAUGGAUGUCUCCAAUUCCAAGCAAUAUUACAGCUAGCAGUUCAGUACCGCUCUGCUCAGCAGUGAAGUGAAGUCAAGCAGUGAACAAUGUUCCAUAAAGGUCAAUUGGCAACUGUACCAUCUGCUCUGGGUCCCUAGAAUAAAUCUCCUGCUGGGGCACUGAUAUACAUGAGCACAUGUUGUUUUCACAAAGACCAAAAUCUUAUA